CUAGUAAUCGCGGAUCAGCAUGCCGCGGUGAAUACGUUCCCGGGCCCUGUACACACCGCCCGUCACACCAUGAGAGCCGGUAACACCCGAAGUCAGUAGCCUAACCGCGAAGGGGGGGCGCUGCCGAAGGUGGGAUUGGUAAUUGGGGUGAAGUCGUAACAAGGUAAC
rnacentral:rRNA from 1 species